rnacentral:rRNA from 3 species
AGAGUUUGAUCCUGGCUCAGGACGAACGCUGGCGGCGUGCCUAAUACAUGCAAGUAGAACGCUGAAGAGAGGAGCUUGCUCUUCUUGGAUGAGUUGCGAACGGGUGAGUAACGCGUAGGUAACCUGCCUUGUAGCGGGGGAUAACUAUUGGAAACGAUAGCUAAUACCGCAUAACAAUGGAUGACACAUGUCAUUUAUUUGAAAGGGGCAAUUGCUCCACUACAAGAUGGACCUGCGUUGUAUUAGCUAGUAGGUGAGGUAACGGCUCACCUAGGCGACGAUACAUAGCCGACCUGAGAGGGUGAUCGGCCACACUGGGACUGAGACACGGCCCAGACUCCUACGGGAGGCAGCAGUAGGGAAUCUUCGGCAAUGGGGGCAACCCUGACCGAGCAACGCCGCGUGAGUGAAGAAGGUUUUCGGAUCGUAAAGCUCUGUUGUAAGUCAAGAACGAGUGUGAGAGUGGAAAGUUCACACUGUGACGGUAGCUUACCAGAAAGGGACGGCUAACUACGUGCCAGCAGCCGCGGUAAUACGUAGGUCCCGAGCGUUGUCCGGAUUUAUUGGGCGUAAAGCGAGCGCAGGCGGUUUGAUAAGUCUGAAGUUAAAGGCUGUGGCUCAACCAUAGUUCGCUUUGGAAACUGUCAAACUUGAGUGCAGAAGGGGAGAGUGGAAUUCCAUGUGUAGCGGUGAAAUGCGUAGAUAUAUGGAGGAACACCGGUGGCGAAAGCGGCUCUCUGGUCUGUAACUGACGCUGAGGCUCGAAAGCGUGGGGAGCGAACAGGAUUAGAUACCCUGGUAGUCCACGCCGUAAACGAUGAGUGCUAGGUGUUGGAUCCUUUCCGGGAUUCAGUGCCGCAGCUAACGCAUUAAGCACUCCGCCUGGGGAGUACGACCGCAAGGUUGAAACUCAAAGGAAUUGACGGGGGCCCGCACAAGCGGUGGAGCAUGUGGUUUAAUUCGAAGCAACGCGAAGAACCUUACCAGGUCUUGACAUCCCGAUGCUAUUUCUAGAGAUAGAAAGUUACUUCGGUACAUCGGUGACAGGUGGUGCAUGGUUGUCGUCAGCUCGUGUCGUGAGAUGUUGGGUUAAGUCCCGCAACGAGCGCAACCCCUAUUGUUAGUUGCCAUCAUUCAGUUGGGCACUCUAGCGAGACUGCCGGUAAUAAACCGGAGGAAGGUGGGGAUGACGUCAAAUCAUCAUGCCCCUUAUGACCUGGGCUACACACGUGCUACAAUGGUUGGUACAACGAGUUGCGAGUCGGUGACGGCAAGCUAAUCUCUUAAAGCCAAUCUCAGUUCGGAUUGUAGGCUGCAACUCGCCUACAUGAAGUCGGAAUCGCUAGUAAUCGCGGAUCAGCACGCCGCGGUGAAUACGUUCCCGGGCCUUGUACACACCGCCCGUCACACCACGAGAGUUUGUAACACCCGAAGUCGGUGAGGUAACCUUUUGGAGCCAGCCGCCUAAGGUGGGAUAGAUGAUUGGGGUGAAGUCGUAACAAGGUAGCCGUAUCGGAAGGUGCGGCUGGAUCACCU